ACUUGCAAGACCAGGCUAGCCCGCAAGGAGAUUCUAGGGACGAAUAUCAUAGAGGACAAACCUCCGAAAUCUUAGAAAGCCCUCUGGAAGAGGUAGAGGAUCUUCCUGGGGAGGAGAAUCCGGAAGAGAUUCCUAGAAGGGCUCAGAGUUCUUCUCCGCCACCUGGCUUAGAAACCCAAAUUCAAAAUGGUGAUAGUGCAGAGUCUGACCAUGACUCGCAGUCUGAGGGAGAAGAAUCAGACAUGGAAAUUCAGGACUUACAGAGGAAUCUUAACAGGCUGCGUUUAACACCACCUGCCCAGGCUAUUCGAAUUCGGCCAGUGCCUGCUAAAAGGACAAAAUUUAACAGGUUGUACGUGCACAUCCUAUAGAUGAAGCUUUAUCAGUGUUCACGGAUGGUUCUAACUCAGAAGGCGCAUUCCAUCCUAUUUGGGUACCUGAACGUGCUAUCAGACAUGGAAGAGAUAGAACCCAGAUUCAAGUGACUGAGGAUCGACCCAGAUGAGCCCCUAUCCAGAAGGAGGAGAUAUCGGAAAAGGAUGAAGAAAGACCAGAUUGACCCAGCCGAAAAGCUGAUUUCAUGGGAAGACGUGAAGAAGCUAACAACCCAGGCUUCCCGAAUACUUCGACACCUAGGAGAGAACAGGACCCCAGUGAUGAUGGUAGCAACAGUAAUUGCCCUGUUGGGCUGUCAGGAUGGCGAGUCUUCAGAACAAGAAUACAGAAACUCCAAAGAGUGAACCGCUGCCUCAUUUUUAAGAAUAGAAAGGGGGAAUAUGUGGGGAGCCAUUCUCACGUGUGACUGGGUGACUCCCGGUUUGGGUCUGAGGCAUUCUGGCUGUGUCGGAACUUUCCCGGCCCUUUCCUGAUGAGAGAACCAGUCCGUGUGGGGGUGUGACUGACCACUGACCCCGGCGGCCCAAUCACUGACCCUGACCUUGGAGUGCGGCCCCCCCCUCAACCUUCAUUGGAUGGAAUUAUCCCCUGAAUUUCUUGUUCCCCAAUAAAAGGCUACUCCCUGGCAUGUUCACUCUCUCUCUCUCCUGCUAGCCCUGAGUAAUCCUUGCUGCCCUGCUGGGCGGUUAGAGGAGGGAACCAGAGAGGGGAGCCGUCUCGGACCUGGCAAUAGAAAA